ensembl:lncRNA
GGGAAGGGCAGAUUAACUUCUGCUUUCUUCUCAGAGAAGCUUGGCUGACUGGUUCCCUGAUGUGUUACCUGCUUCUGCCACUGAUUGAAACUGCAGAACUUCUCAUUCGUCCCCAAGACUUCCAGUAGGGAAUCAGCUCUAAAAGAAACCAGACCAACGUUUGCCAGCCCCUGCAUUCUGGUGACUGAGGAGAGGAGAGUGGGCAGCGGCUACCUCUAUGUGAGGAAUGGAUAGAAUACGUUCAGGCCAUCAUCAUGCAAAGCUCCAGUAGCAGUGACGCCUACACGGAAGACUUGGAACUGCAAACAGAGGCCGGGGUCACCUCAGUGACAUCUGACG